rnacentral:lncRNA from 10 species
UGAGGCUCUGAUUUCCCAGUUGAAAUCAUAUGUUGAUUUUAUUUUUUCCAAUGUAAGUCAAAGAUUUACUAUUAAAAAUCCUGGGGAUGAGGUCUUAACACAGAAAACCCAUCUGUCGUCGCUACAGAGGACUACUAUGAAGAAAGCGCCUGGCAUAAUCUUGGCACAUCGAAGGCAUUCAAAAAAUACCAGUCGUCUCUCUUCACUCCCUCUAACUCUAACUCAUUUUAACCUCAUUUAAACUUUGAGGAAAAAGAACUCAAGGCUUCCAGAGGCUGCCUGCAUCACUUGCCUUGGGGCCCCUUCCUCCAUCUUCAACAGGAGGUUGAGUUCCUCAUCACAUAACAUCACUCGGACCUUGUCUUCUGCCUCGCUAUUCCACUUCUAAAAGCCCCAGUGAUUACACUGGACUCAUCCAAAUAACCCAGGAUCAUCAUCUCCUCUCCAGAGUAUUACUCAUGAGUAAGCCCCACAGCUU